AGUGAACGCUGGCGGUAGGCCUAACACAUGCAAGUCGAACGGCAGCACAGGAGAGCUUGCUCUCUGGGUGGCGAGUGGCGGACGGGUGAGGAAUACGUCGGAAUCUACCUUGUCGUGGGGGAUAACGUAGGGAAACUUACGCUAAUACCGCAUACGACCUUCGGGUGAAAGUGGGGGACCGCAAGGCCUCACGCGAUUAGAUGAGCCGAUGUCGGAUUAGCUAGUUGGCGGGGUAAAAGCCCACCAAGGCGACGAUCCGUAGCUGGUCUGAGAGGAUGAUCAGCCACACUGGAACUGAGACACGGUCCAGACUCCUACGGGAGGCAGCAGUGGGGAAUAUUGGACAAUGGGCGCAAGCCUGAUCCAGCCAUACCGCGUGGGUGAAGAAGGCCUUCGGGUUGUAAAGCCCUUUUGUUGGGAAAGAGAUCUUGCCGGUUAAUACCUGGCGAGGAUGACGGUACCCAAAGAAUAAGCACCGGCUAACUUCGUGCCAGCCGCCGCAGUAACAC
rnacentral:rRNA from 1 species